rnacentral:ribozyme from 1 species
UUUUUUUUUUUUUUUUUUUUUUUUUUUUUGC